UUUAAAUAUCACAGAAAGAAUGACCACUAGUGAUUCUGUGUUUAAAAAUUACAUUUUAAAUUAAUAACUCGUGGUCACUCGCGAUCGUAUGUACUUUUAGACAAGAUCCCCGCAAACAGAACAUUUCUGCACCAAACUCUCGCUUAGUCUUCAGAUGCACUUGUAUGUUUGGUUUUACUAGUUACCAGAAGAAAUUAGGAACUGCAGAAAAAUUACCAGAAGAAAUUAGGAACUGCAGAGACUACAGAGUAUUCUACAAUGAGACCAAGAAUUUCUUAGUCUUGAAAGCAUGGUCAAGACUUGGAUAAUCUUAGAAAGAAAUAUUUAAAUGUAUAUAGUUUCGUACAGUUUUGUUCUAACUUAGUUAAUUCGUAUUUUCCCCGAGCCGGCGGCGCGAAGCGCCGUGCGAGGGUACUAAUUCCGCA